rnacentral:rRNA from 1 species
UACAGAGGGCUCAAGCGUUGUUCGGAUUCAUUGGGCGUAAAGGGUGCGUAGGUGGUGAUGCAAGUCUGGUGUGAAAUCUCGGAGCUCAACUCCGAAAUUGCACCGGAUACUGCGUGACUCGAGGACUGUAGAGGAGAUCGGAAUUCACGGUGUAGCAGUGAAAUGCGUAGAUAUCGUGAGGAAGACCAGUUGCGAAGGCGGAUCUCUGGGCAGUUCCUGACACUGAGGCACGAAGGCCAGGGGAGCAAACGGG